GACGAACGCUGGCGGCGUGCCUAAUACAUGCAAGUUGAGCGCUGAAGGUUGGUACUUGUACCAACUGGAUGAGCAGCGAACGGGUGAGUAACGCGUGGGGAAUCUGCCUUUGAGCGGGGGACAACAUUUGGAAACGAAUGCUAAUACCGCAUAAAAACUUUAAACACAAGUUUUAAGUUUGAAAGAUGCAAUUGCAUCACUCAAAGAUGAUCUCGCGUUGUAUUAGCUAGUUGGUGAGGUAAAGGCUCACCAAGGCGAUGAUACAUAGCCGACCUGAGAGGGUGAUCGGCCACAUUUGGACUGAGGCACGGCCCAAACUCCUACGGGAGGCAGCAGUAGGGAAUCUUCGGCAAUGGACGGAAGUCUGACCGAGCAACGCCGCGUGAGUGAAGAAGGUUUUCGGAUCGUAAAACUCUGUUGGUAGAGAAGAACGUUGGUGGGAGUGGAAAGCUCAUCAAGUGACGGUAACUACCCAGAAAGGGACGGCUAACUACGUG
rnacentral:rRNA from 1 species